rnacentral:rRNA from 1 species
UACAGAGGUGGCUAGCGUUGUCCGGAAUCAUUGGGCGUAAAGAGCGCGUAGGCGGCCAGAUAAGUCCGGUGAUGAAAGUCGAAAGGCUACCAACCUUUGAAUGCCGCUGGAAACUGUCUGGCUAGAGUCCGGGAGGGGCGAGUGGAAUUCCUGGUGUAGCGGUGAAAUGCGCAGAUAUCAGGAGGAACACCAUGGCGAAGGCAGCUCGCUGGAACGGUACUGACGCUGAGGCGACGAAAGCGUGGGGAGCAAACAGG